ACCUUGAACACUUCCAGAGAUGGGGUAUCAACAACCUCCCUGGGCAACCUGUGUCAGUAAAUAAUUUUACCAACCUCACCAACCUUCACAGUAAAUAAUUUCUUCUGAAUAUCCAAUCUAAAUCUACCUUCUUUCAUCUUAAAGUAAUUCUGCUUGUUCUAAAUGCCACAGGAAGGGCUUUGGUGCCAGCGUGGUCUGCAGCUCUGGGAUAGCACCAUACUGAGGAUCACAGCCCAACUCUGACAAGGAUAAGCAACAACUCCUAAGAAAAUCAGCCAGUAUCAUGUGUCAGGGGAUGGGAAAACCUUCAAGGAUUGGGGUGGCACAAACAUGUAAGGAGAUCAGAGUCUUAAGCUGCCUUUCAUUCAGUGCUCAUUCAGAUUACUAUUUUUUGGCAGAAGUAGCUCAGAUUAAAGACAACCAUUCCUGAAUGCUUUUAAAGAAAUAAAUGGCUGUCUAUGCAUACCUAGCUCUCACCUCUCCUUGAAAUGCUACUGCAGUUCCUCAGUCUCUAUGGAUAUAUGAAUUAUUAGUCUAUUUCUCCAAUGUGAUCUUGGAUGACAAAUAUUCCUAGGCGCUGAAUGGCAAUUUUGUAAUGAAAGUUACACUAGAAUAGGCCAGGAACCAAACAGUACCCAUUAAGGUUUGCUUUUAUGUAACCACCAUUCAAAAGCAGUCAUCCAGCCUUUGGGUGAUAACAGUUUUCCACCUCAGUUAUGCCCAGUUCAACAACCUGGUUGUCUAAAAUAAACCCUAAAUUUCCUCCUCUUUCUAUUUGAAUCCCAUUUUCCUCUCUGCAUUCAGUUCACAUUCUUUUUCUUUCAGAGCUUUCAGAGCGUUUAUGGCUUCAGAAGCCUCUUCAGUUUAUCGCAGUGACUUCCCAAAUAGUGCAAAGUCACCUGCUGAUUUUCCCCAGACCAGGAGACCUCUUUUUGUCCUAAUCAGCUCCCAGCAUGUGCAUGGUGUCCUUCAUGCCACUAUCUCCUGUCCUGGGUGCUUCCUGGCCACUGAGGGCACUGGGGGCACUGCUCAGCAAUCUCUGCCUUUUGGUAGAUGAGCAUCAACCCAGCUGGAUCAAAGGAAUUGAAAUAUGUGGACAGGUAAUCAAAGCUCAUCAGCUCCCCUUCCUUUGUACUUAGUAGGGAUAGAUGGACAAUCCUGAGGGAAACCCAGAUGUGCUGGAACAGAUGUCCAAGGAAGCAAGGAGACUACCCCACUGGAGCAGCCUGUUUCUGUCUGCAGAAGGAGCCCGGAGACCAAAAUUAAGGCCAAAUGCCUUUUGCACAGCUAAAUGUAGAUUUGAUAAAUUUCAUCCCAAAAUAUAUACCCGCUGUAAAAAUACGCAAGUGUGUUUAUCCCAAUUUAAUUUUAAUAAGCAGUGUUUUGAGGAGUGCUCUCCUGUCCUCUACCUGAGGGACUGGUGAGGAAAGCAAUCUCAUCCUCAGCCGUCUGCUGCAAUGCUAACAGGGGUGGACUGAAACAACUGCCAAAGCUGACACAUCAAAGAUCUUUCUAGCUUUUCACAGCCAUGAGAAAAGACAACCUACUCAGAUGUUUUCCUUAUUUUUUUCCAGAUUUUCCAAGAAUAGCCCCCUUCUCAUUUAAGAAUAAAAGAAAAAAUAUUUUAAUAAAGCUAAUGCCAUUAUUUUUCUAUCAUUCAAGGAGCACUGUGAUACUUCCUAUUAAAAACAUUGACCCACCUGGGGUACCAUUAAUAGUGGAAAAUCAGACAGAGUUAACACUAAAUUGCCAAUGCAUGUAUAGUGUAUAUAUGAAAUUAUAAACUUGAAAAUGGGUGUGCAAAAUACACGUGAAAUUGAUAAAAGGGCAAAAGGUCUCUUACUUCCCAGUCUAGUAGAAAUGAAUAGGCAUGUACAGAACAUUGUUCUCCUCUGCUGGCUUUUAAGGCACAAAAAGCAAUUUGAGAUGUAGUCUUGCUUUAAUGCCAUUUUGAUUCCUGCCACAGUAAUGUCAAUGCCUUCCGUGUAUGUAUGUAGACAUAUACAUAACAUUUCAAUGAAAGAAACUUAGUUCAGUUCUGGUUAAAAAUGUCUUGUUGUGUUGCUAUUAUUAAUGCAAACCCUAAUUUUUUUUUAUAGUUCCAUGAAAAAAAAUGUAUUUCAAGUAUAUUGGUGAAGUUUCCACUCAACCCAUGAUGGCCAAUGCUUGGGGCCAUGUGUGAUGCUAGGCUUUAGGUGCCAGGAGAGUGACUUAGUGCAAUUGAGUUCAAGGAGACUUAAGGUAAUUGGU